rnacentral:rRNA from 1 species
GGGUAGUUUGACUGGGGCGGUCUCCUCCUAAAGAGUAACGGAGGAGCACGAAGGUUGGCUAAUCCUGGUCGGACAUCAGGAGGUUAGUGCAAUGGCAUAAGCCAGCUUGACUGCGAGCGUGACGGCGCGAGCAGGUGCGAAAGCAGGUCAUAGUGAUCCGGUGGUUCUGAAUGGAAGGGCCAUCGCUCAACGGAUAAAAGGUACUCCGGGGAUAACAGGCUGAUACCGCCCAAGAGUUCAUAUCGACGGCGGUGUUUGGCACCUCGAUGUCGGCUCAUCACAUCCUGGGGCUGAAGUAGGUCCCAAGGGUAUGGCUGUUCGCCAUUUAAAGUGGUACGCGAGCUGGGUUUAGAACGUCGUGAGACAGUUCGGUCCCUAUCUGCCGUGGGCGCUGGAGAACUGAGGGGGGCUGCUCCUAGUACGAGAGGACCGGAGUGGACGCAUCACUGGUGUUCGGGUUGUCAUGCCAAUGGCACUGCCCGGUAGCUAAAUGCGGAAGAGAUAAGUGCUGAAAGCAUCUAAGCACGAAACUUGCCCCGAGAUGAGUUCUCCCUGACUCCUUGAGAGUCCUGAAGGAACGUUGAAGACGACGACGUUGAUAGGCCGGGUGUGUAAGCGCAGCGAUGCGUUGAGCUAACC